rnacentral:snRNA from 11 species
AUACUUACCUUGUGAGAGCGACCGCGAUCAAGAAGGCGGUUUGCUUAAGGUGGUUCUCGCCAUUGCACAUCGGCGUUGGACUGCUUUACCAAUAUCCUUCGGGGUUUUGGCUUGCGCAAUUUUUGUCUC